rnacentral:rRNA from 1 species
UUUAAUUGGACUCAACGCCGGACAUCUCACCAGCUCCGACUACAGUGAUGACGACCAGGCUGAUGACCUCAUCACGACGCUGUAGAGAGGAGGUGCAUGGCCGCCGCCAGCUCGUACCGUGAGGCGUCCUGUUAAGUCAGGCAACGAGCGAGAUCCACGUUCCUAAUUGCCAGCACCAUCGCACGAUGGGUGGGUACAUUAGGAAGACUGCCAGUGCUAAACUGGAGGAAGGAAUGGGCAACGGUAGGUCAGUAUGCCCCGAAUGGGCUGGGCAACACGCGGGCUACAAUGGUCAGGACAACGGGUUCCAACGCUGAGAAGCGACGGCAAUCUCGCAAACCUGGUCGUAGUUCGGAUUGCGGACUGAAACUCGUCCGCAUGAAGCUGGAUUCGGUAGUAAUCGCGUGUCAGCAGCGCGCGGUGAAUACGUCCCUGCUCCUUGCACACACCGCC